rnacentral:lncRNA from 1 species
CGGGCGGCUGCGCGCGCGGGGCGGCCCCAGGCGGGCGGUGUAGCGGGGCAGGAGCAGAGCGCCGGGUUUAAAAGAGAAGGGAGGGACGGCUAGAAACCGCGGGAUGCGGCGCGCCAGGCUCGCGCCUCGAGGUGAAUAUGGUGCUCUUGCAGUUGUGCUAUUGGUAAGAAUGAGUCUGAGAGCUUUGCCUGACCGAGGACUGCAGGAUUCACUUUGCAUUUUAUUGCUUCUUGAAAGCAUGUGUUGUACGAACAAGUGAGCUUAAUCAGAAUGUAGAGCUGAGAGAAACUGAACAGAUGGGAGUGGGAGAUGAAAUGACAAGCCAGCGCAGACAGUGUGAUUAAUUUGUUUUUAAUUUGAGAGGACAGCUCACUUACGGCAGAAAAGACAGCAAAAAUACACAAGUACGUUUCUAG